GUAACUAGCAAUGUCAGAUAUUUUUGCAAACUAACAGCUCAGUAGAAGUAAACACAGGAUAUGAAUAGAAAUUUUAUAGAAGAGGAAACUGAAUGGCUAAAAAUUAUGAAAAUAUAUUUAAUUUCACUUCAGUUCAAAGUAAUUUGAGGAAUGAGUGAGUGGCAUAACAGUGAAAAUGCUGCUCGGGGCUCUCACAUCUCGUUUCAGAGUGUCCAAGUUUGUACCUUAGCUCCACUCCCUAUUCCAGUUUCCUGCUGAGGUUUCCUUUUAUCUGAUUGGAGAAAUUAUUGUUGGGGCUGGCAUUGUGUUGUGGUAGGUUAAGCCAUUGUCAGCAAUGCCAGCAUCCAUAUGAGACUGGAUCAAGACCCUGCUGCUCCACUUCUGAUCCAGCUCCUUGCUAAAAAAUGUGCCUUGGAAAGCAGCAGAGGAUGAUCCAAGUGUUUGGGCCCCUGCAUCCAUGCGGGAAACCUAGAUGAAUCUCCUGGCUCCUGGCUCCUGUCUUUGGCCUGGCCCAGCCCUGCAGUCAUCUGGGGAGUAAACCAGCUAAUGGAAAGUUUUU